GAUGAAGAACGUAGCGAAAUGCGAUAAGUAAUGUGGAUUGCAGAAUUCAGUGAAUCAUCGAAUCUUUGAACGCACCUUGCGCCCUUUGGCUAUUCCGAAGGGCAUGCCUGUUUGAGUAUCAUGAACACCUCAACUCUCAUGGCUUGCUGUGAUGAGCUUGGAAUUUGGGGGUCUUGUUGGCUUGUGAGCCAGCUCCUCCUAAAUGAAUUAGCUUGCCGGUGUUUGGUGGCAUCACAGGUGUGAUAACUAUCUACUCUUGUGGUUUCCCAUCAGGUAACCUCCAGUGAUGGAGGUUCGCUGGGGCUCAUAAAUGUCUCUCCUCAGUGAGGACAGAUUUUGACUGUUUGAUCUCAAAUCAGGUAGGACUACCCGCUGAACUUAAGCAUAUCAAUAAGCGGAGGA
rnacentral:misc_RNA from 1 species